GAUGGUAAAAGUUUCUUAAAUUUGAUCAUCAAAUUUUAGGUCAUUUGAUAUGAUUGGAUGCUUUUCUUGCAUGAUAUUGGUUAAUUUGGCGGUGGAUUCCAAUUCAAUCAACUAGGCAUGAUUGCAUAAAAAUACCUAGAGAGGACCACUUCAAGCCUAUACUUCAUUAUUUUCUUUUGUGUGACAUGUACUCAUAGCAAUUGAAACUCUAGAACUUGCUUAGUUUCUUUUCGAAGUCACAAUAGCAUUUGUGUGCAUGGAAAUUGAGGAUUUAGUCAAUUUUGUUCCCCUUCAUACUUUCCAAUUUCCUUUCCUCACCAUUUUCUUUAUACAUUCUCAUCUAGCAUUCUAAUUCUUAAUUCGCUUUGCUUGUCAUAUUCCUUUUAUUUCGUUGAGAGUUUUGGAUUAAUUACUUGAUGAGUUAGCUUGACUAAGAUGGACAAGGUUUUAAGUGUGGGGGAGGGAUGAUAAGAUGAUAAAUUUUUGGAAAUAUUAAAGGUGUUAUAAUGAUUUCCGAAAUUUUGGCAUAAUUACUUGAUUAUGGAGUUGUUUAGUGAAAUUUUGAAGUUGAAAAUUAUGUAUGCUGAUUUGUGCCAAUUAUGUGCCAACUUCUUAUUUAAAUUCACAACCCAUUGAGAAAUUCAAGUAAAUGUAUUGUAUGCUCAAUGACAAAUGGGGUACCAUUCUUUCCAAGCUUUCAUUGAAUUGAAUGGAAUGCCAUGAGAUCUGAAAGAAAAACAGAAUUGAAAAUACAGAAUUGAAGGUCUUCAUGUUCCAAAAUUUCUGCUAUGGUGUGCUUCAAUUUCGUUUGGUUCUUUUUCCAUGUAACGUGAACAUAGUCUUGAAUGGGUAAGGAAAAUGAAUGGCAAUUGCAGAAGAAGUAUGUCAAAAUUCAAGUUUAGCUUUAAGAAGGAAUUAAGAAGACAAAGACUUUUGGUACCAAAUGCAGAAACUAAAAGCAAGAAACUGCUAGAGACAAUAAGCAUGUGCAACCAUUGGAAGCAAUUGUCAUGAGAUCAACAUUCAAAAUUCAAGUGAAUGUGAUCAGUGAGGCUUUGAAGAUGGAGUUGCAGAAACUGCAACUCAAUUAUAGCAAAUUUCAUUUCUGAAAUUGAAAUAUCAACUUGGACUAUUGUGAGCUAAUUUCUAUGGAAUUUCUACAUAAAGACAACUUCUGAAUCUGAGUUGCAGAAAUCACUGAGCAGAUUGGAAUGAGAUCUUCUGGGUUAUUGCAGAAUUUAGUUUGAUCCUUCGUCUAGUGAAUCCUUGGAGUAGAUCUCUGAUAAUUCAGUAGCUGUAACCUUUGAGCUCACAACCUAAGUUGAUAUUUUUGACAGGAUUUUGAUACUUUGGUUCUGAAUAUGUUGAAUUUUGUUACAUAUGAUUGAUCAGUAAUGAAUUCCUGCAUAAACUACAACUUAAUUGCGACAAAGAUCAGUUCUAAAAUUUGAGUAUCAACUUGGUCUAAUUUAGUUCUCUUUGAAGAUUCAUAAUUAGUGAGAAGAAAGCAUUUCAGACAUCUUGAUUUCCUGGUCUGGCAACUUAGAAUCAAAUUCAAUUCAGUUUUGAUUACUGAUUUUUAGGAGAAACAGUGGCACAAAGAUAGUUGCUGGGGAGUAUAGUUGUCUGAAAUGGAUUCCAAAAGAUAGAUCAUUUCUGGAAUUCUGGAGCAAGAGCAACAAGACAGGAAAUCUGCAGAAUGAAUGUAUUUAUAGGAUUGGAAUCUGAAGCAUUGGACUUGGUGUACUGAUGCUAAGACUUUGUUGCUGCGAAGAACACUGAUCUAACUUAGAAACCCUGAUACUGAAUUCCUUAGUAGCAGAAUAUAGAAAUCAGAACAGGAACAGAACAGAGAAAAGAGAAAGAGAAGAAGAUAACGAAUUGGAAAAUAGUGUAUCAACUUUAAGUAUUGAGUGCUAAUUUCAAUCUGUGGAGUGCCUAUUUCUUUGUGUAGUUUUCUUAACAUGAAGAAACUUAAAUGGUGGAUUUAUGGUAGCUGCUGUACAGAUGUAAUCUGUAAACUUCUUCAAGUUCUGAAAUCUGAUAUUCAUGUGAAGAUGGUGCUGGUUUGAAAUCUGAUAUUUUCUGUGAAUUUUGAGUGACUCCUUAAUCUGGAUUAUAACUAAGGAAGUGCAGACAUAAUUCCAUCUUUGAAAGGUUCCUAGAUUCAGUGAGAAGGGAUUCUUUGGGCUUUAAAUAUCUGAAAUUGAAAACUUAUUUUAGUGCUGGAAUCAUUCUAAGAUGAUGUGGCUGUUGGGAUAUAUUUUGUGCCAACUGUUGAUGCUAUUCUUGAUCAGAAUUGAAGUUGUUUCAUAGCUUAAUAAUUCAGGAUAUGCUGAUACUGUCCAGCUUCUAAAUUUCUAAUCAGUUGAAUUCUGGAAUCUGAAUUCUGAAAUUAUAUUAUAACAGUUGGUACAUUUCCUAUGUGCCAAAGGACAAUCUAAAGUGCUGAUUUCUUGGUGAUUCUGGGACUGAUUUUGUGAGAUUCAUUAGUUGAUAUUGAGGGUAUUACCGAAGAAAAGGAGUGUCAAGUCUUUCAAUUAAUAUAUUUAAAAAAAUCAGAGACUUAAAGGAAACCUGGGACUAGAUGAAGCUAACUGUUGAAUUUUCUGAAGAGCUGGAUCAUAAUUGAUUACAAACUGAGUUUAGCUUAACUGUAAAGCUGGAAUCAGAUAGAGGACUUACAUGACAAUCUGAAAAACUGUGAUGUUUGAAACUGUUGUUAGAAUUCAAUUGUGUGCCAAUUUUAUUGGACUUGAAUUCUACUAUGAAGCUUGGCUCAUGUUUUAAGAUAAUUCAAGAAAUAAACAUUCUGAAUCUAGGUUCUGUUGCUGGGAAUUCAGAGAAGAUCAGAAAAGUAAGAAAAACAUAAACAGAACAAGAAAUCUGAGUUUUGAUUUUCUCUUAAGUUAAGUCCUCAGUUAUCUAGACAAAAGAAGAACAAUUUGAGCUACUGAAUUGGAAAUCUGGAAGCUGAGAUUUGAAUUCAUUGAAACUUCGAAAGUCAUAUAUAAUUUGGAAGCAUAAUUCAUUCUUCUGGUGAGCUACAUUUGGCUGCACUUCAGAAUCUAUAUGGCACAGCAGGAGUUACUGAACUGGUUACUUCAGAAUUUGAAUUUGAGCAGGGAAGAUGGUUACUUUCUUUAAUCUGAUUGAAGUUUUCUUUGAUGAAAGUUGAAGUUGAUACUUAAUUGCAGUAGUUUCUCACUUCUGAAAAUUUAUAAUAUGCAAAUUCAAUGGGAUUGAUUUUCUGAAACUCUUCUGUUUCAUUGCAAUGUUGUUUAUUCAGAUCAAGUUCAGAAAUUUUUGGUUAAAUAACUCAGUUGGUUUUGACAGCUAUUGUAUUAAGGAAAUCUGUUUGCCAAAGACUUACUCUAAUUUCUGUAAUUCUAAUGGAAUUUGAAUUCUGAAAAUGCUGAGCAAGUCACCUGGAAUUGAAAGAAUAUGUGGAAACUGCAGUGCAGAAAUCAAAAGUUGUUAAUAUGGAUCCUUGAGACUAAUCCUUCAUGAUGUUUAGCUGAAUCUGAUGUUUUAUUGUACAUCUGAAUUGGUGACAUUACAGAACUCAGAGCUGAAGCAGUAAGAAAGAAAGAAAGAAAUAGAGGAAGACAAGUAAAACCUGCAGAAUAAAAAGGAAAAUAGUGGUUUUAAGAGUGUCAAGUCAUUGGAUAUCGUGAGGUGUUUCAUUGUCCGAGAUAGACAAUGCUUUAAGUGUGGGGGAGGGGAUUCUUCUUGGCAAGUUGAAGUGAGAUUAUUUGAGCUUUCAAGUGAUGAAAUGAAGUGGAAAACAAUGAAAGAAAAAAUUUUGAAAAAUGGCACAUCAAAAGCGUAUCAAAUAUGGAGAUAGAGUAUCAAGAUUUUUUGUUGGUCAUCAAAUUGAAGGGGAGGUUAGCUUGGUCUUUUGAAUUGAUAAUAACAAAUGUCAUCAAAAGGGUCAUGAACCCGAUCAAAUCAUACCGCAUUUGGACUCAAAUCAAGGGCUUAACGAGGCGAUCAAACCUUGAUACAUUAUGGACCGUCCAUUGAAGAUCGGAGAGAUCUGAGCCAUCCGUUGAGAAUCUGGUCCAUCUGACCUAAUUAGGAGCAGAUCUCAUCUGUAGAUGAAGAUCCAAAGGUUUUGAUCCAGAUCUGAGUUCAUCCAGCCGUUGAUCAAGCUAAGAAUUAAUCUGGACCGUCAGAUCAAUUUUGAGGAGGUUUAAAAGCUGUGUGAGAAGCUACAGUUCCUUGAGUUCGGUUCGCGAUUUUGUGCUACAGUGUCGUCUUCUUCUUUGCGCGACGCCGACGCUCCCAUUCCGAUUUCCAGAUCCGGUGCUUCUUCUUCUUCAACGACAACAAUCAUCUAGCUGCCGACGUUCAUCUUCCGGUGAUCAUAGAACUUGAAGGAGGUCUCCAGAUGGUGAUUUUGAUUCUGUUCCGCCGUCGCAUUCCUGAGGGAGGUUUCCCGAUCAGCGAAUUGCGCAUCCACCAGAGCUUCGAGGGAGGUUUCCUGAGAGCUUCUGAUCAUUUCCCGAUCUUCAUUCCACAACAAAGCUAAGUAGAUCUGAUCAACCGACUUAGUUUUGUGAAUUUAUAGAAUUGAGCUCUGUUUAUUCGGUCGAUGAGGUUUCCAGUUGGAUGGAGCUCGAAUGGAGGUUUCCAAGAGCUGUGAGUGCCUUCUGGAAAUAGCUGGAAGCUUCGGGAUUGUUGUUGAAUGCUUAUAGGGGUCCCGAGGGCAUUUCUACUUCACGGCAGAUUGUGAGGAGUUUGAGCUUGGAUCCAGAUUGAGGAAUGCUUAGGGUUUUGUUUUCUUUAUCUUUGUCUAAUAGAUUUGUUUUGAACUUGCUCAGAUCAUCAGAUCUGAUUCAUCUCCCUUAUCAUUGCUUCUUGUUUCAAUUUAUUGCAAUUCCUCUUCUGAAUUUCUUGUUGCAAAACCCAAUCUUGAUGUUCUUACUUGCAAUUCUGAAUUUGUUGAAC